CGUCUUCGAUCUGUUGCGGACAGAUGAAAUGGAUGUGGCUGUCAAAACCACCCGCGGUCAGGAUGCGCCCUUCACCUGCAAUCGCCUCGGUGCCGGGGCCGACGAUGAUGUCCACGCCGGGUUGCGUAUCGGGGUUGCCCGCUUUGCCGAUCUUGGCGAUGCGUCCAUCUUUCAACCCGACGUCCGCUUUGUAGAUGCCGGUAUGAUCCACAAUCAAAGCGUUGGUGAUGACCGUAUCCACGGCGCCAUCAGCCCGCGUUGUCUGUGCCUGUCCCAUGCCGUCGCG
rnacentral:sRNA from 1 species